GCUGGCGGAGGCUGGCGGGAGUCGCAGGGCCUUUUGAAGGUGGCCCCUUCUCCUCCUCGUCCGCCAGGGACACCAGUGCCUGCAGCCCGUCCAGCUGGCCAGAGUCCCGCAAGGGCCGGAGAGGCUGGCAGGGGGAGGGCCCCCGGGAGAGAGAGGGGCCCCUGGGGGGAUUUGCACUCUGCACGCCCUCAGAGGCUUGGUAGUCUAAGCUCAGGGGGCUCUCUGAGCCAACCUAUCUCUGGGGGGGUGAGGGGUUUCUUCCCAUUGGUCAACAUCCUUCUUAAAUUGUGGUGCCCGGAAUUGGACACAGUAUUCCAGGUGGGGACUGACCAAGGCAGAAUGGAGCUCAGUCUUGUAAGCCACUGGUAUUAGUAGCAAUAAAAGUAAUAAUAAUCACAAUAAGAAAGAUAGUAAUAUUAGACUUGGUUAACAAAUGUUUUUAAGAACAUUGUUCACACAUAUUUGCACUGAUUAGCUCUGUGUGCAUUGCAAUCACUUAUUCAUUGUUGUGCGUAGUAAUUUUAAGUGCAUUCUUAAUAUUACAAUCAAGGUGCGAUACUGUUAAAAUGCAUAAUUUCUUUAAAUAUAAACACAGAAAUAAAUGAAGCUCUAAAUUCAUCGGAUGAUGACCUGUGCCACAAACCGGGAACCAGGCAGAGGGCCUUCUUGGCGGUGGCGCCCGCCCUGUGGAACGCCCUCCCAGCAGAUGUCAAGGAAGUAAACAACUACCUGACUUUUAGAAGACAUCUGAAGGUAGCCCUGUUCAGGGAAGUUUGUAAUGUUUGAUGUAUUUAUCGUGUUUUUAAUAUUCUAUUGGGAGCCACCCUGAGUGGUGGGGUAUAAAUAAAUUGUUGUUGUUGUUACACUAGAUUUAAUGAACACUCAUAUCAGAGUGCCCUGGAAAUUGAGAGCCAUAGUCUUUUAUAUACUAACCUUUUAUGCUCUUCCACAUCCGUUUAAUGCUCCGAAACCCCUCUUUCAGCUUUUUUUAGACUUUUAUGUAUACUUUGUGUUUUAAUAUUUUUUAGCUUUACGUUUUACAGAUUGGAAAUGACUGUACCCCACCCUACUGAUGUUGGUCUACUACCGUAAUAAAGAUUUGAUUGAUUGAAAUGAAAAAUCCUAUAGUAAUGCUGUGAUUGGACACCGAAAUAAUAUAAUACAGGGUGAUUCAUAAUGAAAUAUACAGUUUCCAGAUCCUGUAAGACAGGCGCCAACACGGAAAACAGCUGCGAACCGUGAGGUAGAUGUACUCAUAAAGUGAUGGAGGUGAUAGUGCGCGUGUCACGUGACUAGUCAGGCGAAAUGGCUGCGUCUGCAGUGGAGAAGACGUUUUGUGUUCUUGAACUGAGCAAAAUGGAGUUUGUUGUGCAACGGCAUUUGCAAUUGCGAUGUGUGUUGUGUGACAAACGGUGCAUACAUAGAACAUCUGUGACUGUUUCGAAACUACUUUAAACAUUCCCCUACAAUUCUGUCACAGGUAACAUGAGAUAUAUUAUAUUCUUUUUUAUAGUGUGUUGAAACUGUAUACUUCAUUAUGAGUCACGCUGUAUAAUAUAAUAAUAAUAUAAUAUAAUAUAAUAUAAUAUAAUAUAAUAUAAUAUAAUAUAAUAACAUACAUACAUCGUACUUUUCCGUGUAUAAGAUGGGGAAAAUGGGAUCCCCCAUUUUCUUAAUAUUGAGUCCCCCAAAAUAGGGGGUGUCUUAUACACGGGGGCAUGUUCUACACGGGAAAAUACAGUAAUAUGUGAUGUAAUGUAAUAUAAUAUAAUAUAAUCGCUAAAGGUAAAGGGACCCCUGAUGAUUAGGUCCAGUUGUGGCCGACUCUGGGGUUGCAGUGCUCAUCUCGCUUUAUUGGCCGAGGGAGCCGGCGUACAGCUUCUGGGUCAUGUGGCCAGCAGGACUAAGCCGCUUCUGGCAAACCAGAGCAGCGCACGGAAACGCUGUUUACCUUCCCGCUGGAUCUACUUGCACUUUGACUUGCUUUUGAACUGCUAGGUUGGUAGGAGCAGGGACCGAGCAACGGGAGCUCACCCCGUCUUGGGGAUUCAAACCGCCGACCUUCUGAUCAGCAAGCCCUAGGCUCUGUGGUUUAACCCACAGCGCCACCCGCGUCCCAAUGUAAUAUAAAAUAUAAUAUAAUAUAAUAUAAUAUAAUAUAAUAUAAUAUAAUAAUAUACAUCCCCCCAAAUUAGUAUUUCAUUAUAAUUAAUAUUAGUAAUAAUAAUGAAAUAAGUCAAGCCAGAGGCUCCUCCCAGCUUUGCCUUGCCCUGCCUAGUGGGCGUGACCACUCUCCACUAAACCCCGCCCCACCUCUCCCCGCUUUCCACUGCUGCCUUUCGCGACCAAUUGCCUUCCCCAGCUCUACUCGCCCCACCUCCUUUCACAAUGACUCGCCCAGAUUGGCGUAGGCGGCCUGCCACUCUCGUGAGCGCCGAAGUUCCCUCUCCCCUCUCUUCCCGGCUGCCUCGCCCGCCCCUAACACUGGCCAGUGCAAUAAAAUUCAUUGGAUCCCAGUCAAGGCUUGGCUAAGAUCAGUUGCUACUCGUUGGAUCAGGGAGCAGAGCUUACACAAUACAGAAAUUAAACCAACAGACUGUGGAAGAUGUCUUAAAUGAAUUUCUCAGUUUAUUGAUUUACAAAGUUUAGGAGAAUGAAAUGAUGUGAAGUGAGCUUAUGAAUGAUAGCGCAUAAAUGUGGGAAAGGGAGCAUAGAAAAGUGAAUACAUAGAACUGGCAUAACCAAACAGUAUUGUGGAAUAUUAGAAUUGAUAUGGUUAAUAGGUAGUCAUGACAAAGCAAACAGACUCAAAAACCUUUUAAAUCUUUUUAAAAUUUUUAGAAGAUAAUAGUUUACAAACUAAGGGCAGUAGACCAGGACUCAUUGUAGUCAUUGGCAAAGCAAGGUAGCAAAACAUUUCCUCCCAUCUUACGGUUCAUGUGAACAGGACUACACAAAACCCGGGCUAAGAAGGAACACAAUCUCUUUCAGAGGUGGAAAAGGAGGAACAUGGAUGAGUAUCUGUGUUUCCUUUAUGCACUUCUGGACAUCAGGAACAUGGAAUGUUUUAAGAAUCAGAUGUCCCCUUAAUUUCUGGUUGUCAGGUGCUCCUUUGUGUUCAGAUCAGGCCUCAGCACAAUAACGUAGCACUUGGGAAGGAAGAUGCAGCCCAGGAGCCCAGCACUGGAGGCCAACAUAGAGAAGAUCUGCACGGCCACCAUGUACUUGCCCUUGGUGCUCAGGUAGGUGGGCACAAAGACACCCAAACACUGCAGAAGACCAGCAUGCUGAAGGUGAUCAGCUUGGCUUCGUUGAAGGAGCCAGGCAGCUUCCUGGCUAGGAAAGCCACCGUGAAGCAGAUGGCAGCCAAGAAGCCCAGGUAGCCGAGGGCAACGUAGAACAUGGCCACAGACCCUUCGUUGCAUUGCAGGAUGAUCUCUUCCACCUGCCUGCUGUUAUAGAUAAGAAGAGGGCAACGAAAGCUAACACCAUUCCUAAAUAUUCUCCAUAAGUCAGGAAGGUGGUAAUCUUGGGGACACAUUGAUCUCUGUCCUUGUUUGAAUGGUGAUCUUCUGAGCAUUUGGUGCAAUGUUCUGCAUCAGGGGAAAAGAAAAAGAGUGGCUGCAACAUCACUAAUGAUCUGAACUCGAUUACAUUUUGAAGAAAUCCUAGAGAUUUCUUCCUUAUGGUCAUUCCUUUCAACUCUCUUCCAGGAUGUAAUGAAGGUGAUUGUAAAGAAGUUGAGGAAGGAGCCACAUUCCCCAAUGUCUGCAGAAAUCUCACAAAAAGUGUUUGAGACUGGAUUUCUGCCCUGUGUUUACUUUCUCCAGAAAUACCUUCCCCCUUGGCGUCACCCACCUUCCUGGGCGGAGAAGGUCCCUUCUGCACACCGAGCACAAGCAUAGCAGCAAAUGGGCUUUCCUUCUAGAACCACCUUGGCAUAUCCAGGUCGACAUCUUUCUGUACACCUGGAACGAGGCACGGCCUAACCAGAAAGACAAGAAGGUGCAAGAAAGAGGAACAGUUAGGAGUAUUUGUUUGGAUGUAACUCACUCAUAGAGUGAAUUCAAAUGGAUCUCUGGACUGCAGCCUUUGACCCCUCACCAGGGUCCUUUCAACCCCCCACUGACCAUUGGGGCGACCAGAAUAUCUUGUUCUUUGUUCAGGACAACUGAGGUUUGCGCCACAGAACUCUCUUUCCUCUUCUCCAUUUACCUGCUUCCCUGCUUAAUAAAUCUUCAAAGAAAAUGGCAAUGGAGUCUGAAAUGUGAUAUCCCCAAAGUUCAGGAUUCGGAUAAUCUCUCAAUCACUAAUUAAGACAAAUUUAAUAUGACUUUUCCAAAUAUUGGUUUCCCUCACUCUGUUUUUGAGGCAUGCAAGGUUUCCUCUUAUUGCUGAUGAAUGUCCUAGUUAUUUCUCGUUCAUAUGCCAUUCCUUAACAUUAACCUUAUAUUACAAUAGGGUUUUUUUUUUUAACUUCUCAUCCUUCACCAACAGCUGUGCACUUCUCAAUUUCUGCACAUACAAUAGUUUAACAUUUGCAACAUCUACAAGUGAGCUUACUCCAUAAAUUUAAAAUAUCCGCAAUAAAUCAGUAAUUAUCAUUUCUAAAAUAAAUUACUUUCCAUCCUUCUGCAUGUAUGAAAACCCAAUAGUUCACUUUUACUAGGGGCUUUCCCUUUUCUUCUUAUCUACGUAGUCCUUUCUGUCGAAGAUUCUGGUGUCUUCUCUGAGGACCUCUGUGCUCUAUCCUUUCUUUGAGCACCCCAAAUUCACCUCCUAUCUCAGCUGCUGUGAAAAGAAGGAGUGGUGGUUGCAGCUGUUAUUGACGGUCCAGACACCAUUGGUCAACCUGAUAUCCUGAUAUGGUCAUUUUUCGGCGGUUGUUUAAGGAAAAACAUAGUAAUCAUCUCCUAGCCUUCUCCCUUUGUGAUUUACCCUACCUUAUUGAAUUUCUUGGGCCACUCAAUGGCUUCUGGGUUAAUGGUGAACUUUAUGCCAGCAGACGUCUCUCUCCUUAUAUUUCCAAUUUUCACAAUGUCACGAGACUUAUUGGGAGACAUCACCCAGUUCACAAUAUCAAAGUCUGCUGGUAGCUCCCAGUUCUCAUCCAAGCACAGCCUGCCUCUGGAAGUAUUCAGACACCGGAUUUCUCUUAAGAAAGGGUGAAGCUGGAAUGGCAGGGGAAAACACCAGCAUUAAGAAAACGGGAAGCCAAGAUGGAUAUAUCAGUCCUACUCACUUCAACCUCUUAUGAUUUGGGGCUGCGUGUAUCUCAUGUAGACUGGAAUUCCUAUUCAGCCAUUUUUAUUACUACAGACCCUGCAAGUGCUCCAAUUUUCCAGGGAUGUCCCUGAAUUAGAGACAGUUUUCCAUUUGAUCCUGGAAUUUCCCAACUUUGCUUAGAAUGUCCCUAUUUUCAUUGGAGAAAUGUUGGCAGAUGUGGAGUUAUCCAACCCACAAGGCGUCCAAUCCUAUAUCGGGAAUCUUUAUUAUGUUUAAUAUUUUAGUAUGAAUUUCUUUAUGUUGGGAGCUGCCCAGAGUGCUGAGGCAACCCAAAAAGACGUGUGGGGUAUAAACAGUGCUAUUUUUCUAGGUAAAAAAGGUGCCGGAACUCACCAUGAACACCUCCCUCUGAGAAUGGCAAUGGCACCCACCUGAGAGGUGCCAAAACUGAGUUUCAAUAAGUUCCGCCGUUAAAAAGCUCUGGAUAUCAACAGUAAACACUGGUCAACAACAAAUUUGUUGUCUGCGUUUUUUCAGUUGAUUUAGAACGAAUCUGAUGCACUGAAUCCAAAAAUCACAUUGGUUUUGUUCAAUCAGGUCAAGUUUUUGAGCUAUGGCCACAUGUCAUUUUUUUACGUUUUUGUUCACAUGUACGCUUGUGUGGAGCAUUUUAGAAGAAGUUGGUGGGGGUAAAAUGCCAUGUCAAAUAAUUGUUUUGAUUGGAAAUGAUUAUUUUAAUGACAAGAAGUAUUCAGGUCCAAUAGUUCUGGGUGAUUAUGUCGAAAAGGGAUCAGUUUGAAGUCAUAAAACCUUGAAAUCUUCCAUAAAUUGGUGCGGCAAAGCAUAAAGUUAUUUUGGUAUUAAACUUGGUGACCAGGAUAAAGCUUGGGCACCACACAUAGUGUGCAAGGCAUGCACCGAGACUCUACGUGGGUGGACCAAUGGCAAGAGGAGUCUGAACUUUGGAAUUCCCAUGGUUUGGAGGGAGCCGACAAACCAUGUCACUGACUGCUACUUCUGCGCUGUUGAUGUGACUGGGAUCAACAGAAAGAACUGGAGCAGCCUCAAGUAUCCUGAUCUUCAAUCAGCACAUCGUCCUGUAGCUCAUUGUGAUGAAAUUCCAGUGCCUAUCUUCGGAGAACUUCCUGACAUUAGUGAUGAAGAUGCCUCCAGUGUUGAAGGACAUGAAGAAGAAGUGGUUCUUGAAGAUGAUGCUCCACAUCCAUUUUCCCAAAAGGAGUUGAAUGAUCUAGUUCGCAACCUCAGCUUGUCAAAGGACUCUGCCGAACUGUUGGCAUCCAGACUGAAGGAAAAAAACCUCUCUGACAGUGCUCGCAUCAGAUUCUUCCGCAACAGGCAUCAAGAGUACCUCCGUUUUUUCUCGGAAGAGAAGGACUUGGUGUACUGUGCAGAUAUUGCGCAGCUUCUGCUCAAGCUUGAAGUGCCACAGUACGAACCCAAAGAUUGGAGACUGUUCAUUGACAGCAGCAAGCGAUCACUGAAAUGUGUUCUGCUAAACAACGGCAACCAGUACCGAUGUUUUCUGUGCAUGUGGGAUAGUAGGGACCGUGCUCAGCAUUACACGAAGAAGGACUGGCCUGUGCGGGAGGAAUUGGUGCCUUGCAAAGAAAGGAACGUCUUCAACGACCCUCUGGUGGACAGAGACAGAAUACUCUUCCCACCGCUGCACAUCAAGCUCGGCUUAAUCAAGCAGUUCACCAAGGCUCUGGACAAGGAUGGUGACUGACUCACUUACUUGUGCCAGGCUUUUCCAGGAUUGACCAUGGAGAAGUUGAAAGCUGGCAUCUCUGAUCCGUCAGCUCAUCAGAGAUCCAGAGUUUGGAAACUCAAUGAACGAAGUGGAACUGGAAGCGUGGAAGGCAUUUGUUCUGGUAAUGAAUAACUUUCUUGGCAACAAUAAGGCCAGAAACUACGCAGAACUUGUCAACAACAUGCUGACUGCUUUCAGAAACCUGGGCUGCAACAUGAGCGUCAAGAUGCACUACCUAUUUUCACAUAUGGACCGGUUUCCUGAGAACCUGGGUUCAAUGAGUGACGAGCAGGGGGAGAGAUUCCAUCAGGACAUGAAAGAGAUGGAGACCAGGUAUCAGGGUCGCUGGGACCCAGUCAUGAUGCCUGACUACUGUUGGACUCUGAAGAGAGACCUCCUUGCCGCUGAGCAUUCCAGGAAUUCCAAGAAGUUCAAGCCCUGAAGUUUGAAAAAUGGUGAAGCAACAUGCAAUUUACGUGUACUUACCUUUAUCAAUGCCCACCAUUCAGUUUACAGUAAUCGGUGUUUCUAUCAGGUAAUCAAUAUAUGUUGUUGGAAAAACAUUUUUUUCUCUUAAAAACAUAUUUAGGAUGAUAUGUGUUGACAAAAAUGAGCCGAUAAUGCCACAAAAAUGUAAUCGAUUUUGUCACAAGAUCUGAUUUUUUUCAAAUCAACAUAGCACAAAAACCUGACCUGAUGGAGAUAAACGGAUGCCAUUUCCUGAUUCAGCAGUGCAAAAAUACCCUAAAGCAGUUGUAGAAAUCUAGACAACAUUCAAAAAGUAAAAAAUUGUUGCCCAGUGAUUAUCGUUAUGGAAUGGGACGUCUCUAUUUUCAUCAGAGAAAUGUUGGGCUGUAUGCUACUAUUACUAGUACUAAUAGUAACUAUGUUAUUUUGCAGGUCUAUCCCCAGUCAAGAUCAGCAUCUGUGUGGACUGCAGGUUGCAAAAAGGGGAAGGAAAUACCUGCCACGGCUGUAGCCUUGCGUGUCCCCAUUGCUCUCCUUCCUCCACCAUCAGCCUCCUCUGGGAUCUAGAUGAAAGCGAAGCAUGCAAGGCCUGAGCCACAGCUUGAACAUGGAUGUAAGUGCCAUAGCUUUCUAGAAACAGGGCUCUCUCACGCUCCUCUUGGGGCAUUGGCUGCAGUUUCUCCUCCUCUCUGCAUCUUACCCUGCCUUUCACGGACAACAGAUGCCUUGAAUAUGAACACUGAAAUGCUUGAUUGAAAUAAUCCACAAGAUUGGACGACGAUUUAUAUUUGUCACCUUUGCUGCUCCUUAUUCCAGUCUGAAUUGCAAAGGACAGAGAACCAUGGAGGUGCUGGAAGUAAUCUGGAGGGGUGUAAAUGCCAAUUCUGAUUUCUAGCAAAGCUGUUGUGAUCCAGACUUUCGCCCCUGUUUCCUUCUCAUGGAUAUCGUGUAUUGCCAUGAUUAUUAUGAUACUCAGUGCAUUGGUUGUAUAGGAAACAAAUACCCCAACUUGUCUCCAUAGGAAAAAAGGUUCCCCAGGCCUGAUAAAUUGAUCCAUAUCACUUUCUGGUACUCUUUUUGAGAAAGCAAUGCAGAUCCCUUUGCUGAGCAUCAGAGGUUUCACAGCGCUCACAAUUCUUUCUCCAUUGUCAUUGUCUGAAAUGAAGAGGCCAAUCCACGUCCAUCCAAAAUGCAGGAGCAAUUCAACAAUCCCCUGGUACUGACUUUCCACUUUGGGAGUCAUCCGGUAGACAAAAGGGAACAGGGUUUUACCUUCGGGAACCUGGGCAGUGAAGCCAUAACUGAUCUAGCAAGCAAAGCAAAGAUCACCAAUUUAUUUUACUUUCAGCAUAAGAUUUUUAAUUAUCUGAAAUGACUGAUAUCUAAAUCUCUGCUGGCUGAGGCUGAUGGGAGUUUUAGUCGGAAACAUCUGGAGGUGUCAAGUUGGUGAAGGCUCAGUUUUAAAAAAAGGAUGUUGAAUCCAUAGCUCAGGAUUUUCCCAUUUUUAAAAAUAUCCCUGCUUGACCUAUCCAAAGAGAAAGUAGAAUUCUACGCAGUUGAAAUUCUCUUUCCCUCCAUGCUCUCCCACUGCUUACCUGUGGGAUUUUGUAGAUGCCUGACAAGGCUGAAAUCACUUUUGAGAUGACAGUAUUGCCUCUUUCAAGAACAGCCAGCAGGUGAUUCUGUUCUCCACAGUGAUAAUUGGGAAUAUUGCAUCCACUGCCUGCAAGCAGCUCUAGCAUGGCGUCCGAAGUCAUCCUUGCAUCGAAAAGGUUCUCAUAGAGGUUGUAGCCCAGGGUGAUAUUGGGUAAGAGACUGAGAUCCUGGUUGAUCUCUUGGAUGGUGAACAGGAAAGACAACAUGUACUGGUAGAUCCUAGGUGCCUCCCUGCAAUAAAUGAAUUCUUUAAAAAGAGUGAAACUGAUAUUCAUAUGAAUGGGACGGAGGAAACAUUAUAUAAUCCACACAGAUUAGUAUUUAUUUAUCCUUUUGCAUUAAUAUCAAACCUUUUCCUGUCUAGCAUAAAACAAAAAUUUGCAGAUCUCUGCUCCAUGACAGGAGCUUUGAUGCAAACAGCACACAGAGCGGUUCAACAGUGGAAGAGACUCCCUCCGAAGGUGACCAUGUGUCAUGGAUGCUUCAGGUGAGAUUCCUCCGGGUCCCUUCCAUCUCUACAACUCUAUGAUUCUAUUCUACUAUGGUUUUAUGAGUAAGAAAUGAAGGCGCCCCUCAAAAUGUGUGAUAUACUGGGAAGUUGCUGCAAGGGCUGCUUUUGCUGCAGUGGUCUUCGGCUUCUUCCAAGGGGCUAGACUAUAGGUAGGUGAGAGACCAUUUGAUUGAAGGAGGAGAAGCACCAAAUACCUCAGUCCCCUUUUAGUUACAAAUGAGGCCUGGUGGCUUUCAGGUUUGAGUGUGUGGUAAAAUCUAUAAUUUUGCCCAUGUUUGGAUCAGUGACUCCCACCAAUGGGGACACCCCCUGGUCUGUAUUAUUUUAUAUAAUCAUUUUAUUUGAAGCAUAUCGUUCCUGCUUUUACCCAUAAAAAUCCACCCAUUUUCAGGAGUUUCUUAAAGCGCUUCUAAUUAUUUUUAAAAAGAUAGUGACAGAAAGGAAAAAGUGCUGAGAUUGGAGGAGGAAACCUUUAAUGUAGCCCAUGUGGGCUGUAGGUCUCCUGUGGUAUUGUGUCAAGAGAACUGUGCUAAGGUUGUUCACAAAUGAUCCAAAUAGAAUAAACAUAAAAUAAUUUUGGCAGCUUGGAAAUUGCUUGUUUCAUGCCUCCCUCUGGGAUAGGAAACAGGUACCUAUGGAUUCCACGUGAAGAAAUAUCAAACAUCUCACUACUUAGAAAUGAGGCCAGUUGUGUAUGUGAAAAAAGGAAUAAUUUUCACAUUUUAGAGACCUGACUCCACGAACAAGGAAGUCUCCUGAUUCAUAUUAUUUUAUUCAUUAUUUCAAUUAAAGUACAUCUUUUCUGCUCUUCAGCCACCAAACGUCACCCAGAGGAUCUUAAAUUCCAUUUGUAAAACUGUAGCAUUCCCUAACGACAGUUUCUGAAUUGUCCAAAUGGAAUAAUAUUGAAUAAAACCCUUGAGCCUUGGAAAUUGCCUGAGUUUCAUGGCAUCCUGCAGGUGGGAAAAUUCAGUGCAUCCUUUUGACUCCUGACCAGAUUCAUUGGCAUCCUUGCAUUCUACUGAAAGCAACACAGAAUCAAAGGUAGGAGAGUGUUUCACUAAGGAAGACCCAGGGAACAAGGAAAUGGGAGAGGUUUGGGUGGAAUCUUUUAGUGGACCCCCCAGCGCCCAUCAGCCCAGCCAGCAAGACCAAUGGUCAGGGCAGGGUAGACCUGCAACAUGAGGACAGCCUUGGCUCCCCAGCCCUGAGAAAGGCGCUCUUUCCUUGAGAAAUAGGAACCAUUACAAGGACUGGAGGACCAUGAAACCCACCCACAUAUGAUUUUACAUACGCCUCAUCCCUGGCCAAGGGUGUCUGAGAAAAGACGUAUGGAAUUUCCUUAUAUAAGCGUUUUGGAGAGAUGAUCCCACUGAUGAGAAAGUGUCCCGGCCGGAAGUAAUUGCGAGCAUCCGUUUGAUCCCUGACCAGAUUCAAGGGGCAUUUCGCCUUGUAGUUCCCGCAGACUCCAAAGGGCAUCAUGAGCAGCAGAAGCAGCAACAGAAGGAGCAGGGAUCUCAUUCUGGCUCUGCCUCCUCCUCCUCCUCUUACCUGCCCAGGAGGCAAAGCAGAAGAACCCAAAGACUCUUGCAAGACCAAACUGCCUGGGCUUUCCCCAAUCUGGGUGGUUUUCAUCUAUAUCUUCAGAGCUAGGAAGCACAAGGCAGGCACACCCCUCUUUCGCCAGCUCUGCAUCUUGUCUCAGUCUGUCUCCAACACAGGAAAUAUUCUCUGCACCAACUUUUUCAUUCCCAGACACAGUGCAAUUAAUAUUGUCAUGCUACUUUCUGAGGCUGAUGUAACCUCCAGAAAUAUCUCCUGAGCAUUUAGAAGAGGAGAUGACUAUAAUUUUGAUUAUUCCAAGUGGAAUAAGUUUCAUCACACUAACUUUCCGAAGUCUUGAAUGGCUCAGGCAGCAGGUGCAGAGCUGGAGAAAAACAUGAUGGAGAAAAGUCAAAAGGUGUUUUUGGGAAUUGGAAGUUUGGCCUGAACUUUGCUCCCAAGGACCAAAGAAGGAGCUGGAUCCAACCAUGGACUCUCCUUCCUUGGAGGUUUUGAAGCAGAGGUUAGGGAUGCUUUAGAGAACCAGUGUGGUGUAGUGGUGUAGUGGUUAAGAGCGGUGGACUCGUAAUCUGGUGAACUGGGAUAACUUCCCCGCUCCUCCACAUGCAGCUGCUGGGUGACCUUGGGCCAGUCACCCUUCUCUGAAGUCUCUCAGCCUCACUCACCUCACAGAGUGUUUGUGGUGGGGGAGGAAGGGAAAGGAGAUUGUGAGCCCCUUUGAGACUCCUUAGGGUAGUUAUAAAGCGGGAUAUGAAAUCCAAACUCUUCUUCUUCUAGUUGGCCACUUUGGGUGGAUUUGAUUCCUGCCGAUCCCUUCUGGUUCUCCCCCUGAAGGGAAGUAGCGUGUUGGUGGUUUUGAAGCCACUUCAGGUGAAUUUCCACCCCAUCUUUGAAAGGCUUCUCCAACAGAGGGAAGCUCUCUGGGGUUGGAUGAGGGGAGAAAGUUUGCUCUGAGCCUUAGGCUCUUCCUUCCCCUUCAACAUGUUCUGCGGAAGGAGAGCUUCUGUUGCUCAUGGAGCCAGCUUGCUCCUCGUCUUUGAGCAGAAACAUCUCUACUCAUAAACAAAUUGUCGGCGCAGAAGCCAGGCUAGCAUUCUAGCAGCUUUAUUAUUCUUUAUGAAUUUAUUUAUUAAUAUUUAUUUACUUUCUUACUUAAUUAUUUAAUUUUUCAUAAAAUCCAUGCACUAUUUUGGCCAAUCACCCCUAGAGCGCUUUACGUCAAGAUAAGUCAGGACGAUCAUAACAAAGUUUACAGUCUUACUUUAGAGCAUUCCAAAAGUUAAAAUAAUAAAACAGAAUCAAAUUACCUCAACUUCCUAAGAAUCUGGGUGGAUGCUGUCUUUAUUACAUUAAAAAAAAAUAAAAAAAAUUUAUUAGGUCUCCAGAGAUAUUCCAAUCACUUGUCUUCGUAUACAGUUUAAAAAAACAAACAAAAACCCCACACAAUUCCCAUCUCUAUGUUGGUUUGUAUCAGAUAUUUUAAAAAACCUGUUUUUAUUAUCAAAGCCCCAAUGUCGUAUUUCAGUAAUGCGCUGCUUAUAUUUCAAAUCCUGCCUUUGACUUCAUGUAUGGAUGAUAGUCCCCUUCAUGGAUCACUGCCUUGCCGUGGCGAAGGGGCUUGAAUAACUCAGAGAAGCUAUUUGCUAUGCCGUGCAGGGCCACCCAAGAUGGACAGGUCAUAGUGGAGAGUUUUGACCAAACGUGAUCCACCUGGAGCAGGAACCGGCAAGCCACUCCAGUAUCCCUGCCAAGAAAACUCCAUGGACAAAGGCAACAGGCAUAUAAAAGUUAUGACGCUGGAAGAUGAGCCCCUCAGGUCGGAAGGCGUCCAACAUGCUACUGAGGAAGAGCGAAGGACAAGUACAAGUAGAUUCAGAGCUGAUGAAGCGGCUGGGCCAAAGCCGAAAGGACGCUCAGUUGCGGAUAUGCCUGGAAGCGAAAGGAAAGUCCAAUGCUGUAAAGAAAAAUAUUGCAUAGGAACCUGGAAUGUAAGAACCAUGAACCUUGGUAAGUUGGAUGUGGUCAAAAAUGAGAUGACAAGAAUAAAUAUUGACAUCCUGGGCAUCAGUGAACUAAAAUGGACAGGAAUGGGCGAAUUCAGUUCGGAUGACCAUCAUAUCUACUACUGUGGGCAAGAAACCCGUAAAAGAAAUGGAGUGGCCCUCAUAGUCAACAAAAGAGUGGCGAAAUCUGUACUGGGAUGCAAUCUCCAAAAUGAUAGAAUGAUCUCGAUAUGAAUCCAAGGCAGACCUUUUAAUAUCACAGUAAUCCAAGUUUAUGCACCAACCACUGGUGCUGAAGAAACUGAAAUUGACCAAUUCUAUGAAGACUUACAACACCUUCUAGAAAUGACACCAAAGAAGGAUGUUCUUCUCAUUAUAGGGGAUUGGAAUGCUAAAGUAGGGAGUCAAGAGAUAAAAGGAACAACUGGCAAGUUUGGCCUUGGAGUUCAAAACGAAGCAGGGCAAAGGCUAAUAGAGUUCUGCCAAGAGAACAAGCUGGUCAUCACAAACACGCUUUUCCAACAACACAAGAGACGACUCUACACAUGGACAUCACCAGAUGGGCAGUAUCGAAAUCAGAUUGAUUAUAUUCUCUGCAGCCAAAGAUGGAGAAGCUCUAUACAGUCAGCAAAAACAAGACCUGGAGCUGACUGUGGCUCAGAUCAUCGGCUUCUUAUAGCAAAAUUCAAGCUUAAACUGAAGAAAGUAGGAAAAACCACUGGGCCAGUAAGAUACAAUCUAAGUCAAAUCCCUUAUGAAUACACAGUGGAAGUGAGGUACAGGUUUAAGGAUUUAGAUUUGGUGGACAGAGUGCCUGAAGAACUAUGGAUGGAGGCUCAUAACAUUAUACAGGAGGCAGCAACUAAAACCAUCCCAAUGAAAAGGAAAUGCAAGAAAGCAAAGUGGCUGUCCAACAAAGCCUUACAAAUAGCAGGGGAGAGAAGGCAAGCAAAAUGCGAGGGAGAUAGUGAAAGAUACAGGAAAUGGAAUGCAGAUUUCCAAAAAAUAGCAAGGAGAGACAAGAAGGCCUUCUUAAACGAGCAAUGCAAAGAAAUAGAGGAAAACAAUAGAAUGGGGAAAACCAGAGAUCUGUUCAAGAAAACUGGAGAUAUGAAAGGAACAUUUCGUACAAAGAUUACCAUAAUAAAAGACAAAAGUGGAAAGGACCUAACAGAAGCAGAAGACAUCAAGAAGAAGUGGCAAGAAUACACAGAGGAAUUAUACCAGAAAGAUAUGGAUGUCUCGUACACCCCAGGUAGUGUGGUUGCUGACCUUGAGCCAGACAUCCUGAAGAGUGCAGGAUGCAGGGAAUACAACUAUUUGGCAUCGUCUCAUUGCUUUCCUCCAAUGCUAAACUUGUUGCUGGCUCAUUUGUAAUCUGGUGAUCCACUCAACAAUGUGUCAUAUCCUGGACAAUGCAAUAAAAUCCAUUGUACUCCAGUCAAGGCUUCGCUAAGGUCAGUUGCUACUCUUUGGAACAGGGAGCAGAGCUUACAGAAUACAGAAAUUAAACCAACAAAUGACAGAAGAGAACUUAUAUGAAUUUCUCAAUUUAUUAAUAUACAAAGUUUAGGAGAAUGGAAUGAUGUGAAGUGAACUUCUGAAUGAUACAUCCAACCUGUAGAAAAUGGAGCACAGGCAUUUGAAUAUCUAGAAAUGACAUAACUAGAAAGUAUUGUUGAAUAUCAGAAUUGAUAUGGGUAAUAGAUAGUUAUAAUAAAGCAAACAGACUAAAAAACCUAACUCCUAUCUCCCUCUCGACUAUCUUGUUGUGAGAUAAAUAGAAGUUCCUGUUAGGGAACUGCCAUCAGUGCCGGAGGGAGAGAGCAAGCUCCAGAGGGAUCCCAGAGAGCGUCCCGGGAUUGGGAGAGGCAGCCCAUCUUCUGGGGAAGGGAAUCAGCUUAGCUCCAGUGGAGAAGGGGGGCAGAUGGGGGAAUCAGAGAGGCGGUCACAUGACUCCUUGCCGGAGACCAGCGGGGAGAGGAAGGGUCCUCCGCUGCCUACGCCCUCCUUGCGCAGAAGGCUUCCGCGCAGGGAGAGUAGGAGGAGACUGGGCGUCAAAGAACUUUGCUGGAAGAAGUUUAAGAAACGCCCACUGACGGAUUCUGCCAGCGAUUGAGACAGCCACGGGUGAGUGGCUGUCCGGACAGGAAAGGUUCACUCAGGCAAGCCAGCCAGGUGUUUGCACAGGCUUACGCACGAGCAACCCCUAGAACCAUUACAGUUCCCCGUUUUAUCAUAUGUGGUGGGAAUGUAAGAAAGUGAAGGGCUUCUGGGAGAUGAUCUAUAACGAAAUGAAAAAGAUGUUAAAAUAUACAUUUGUAAAGAACAUAAUCUCUUUCACAGAUGAAGAAUGAGCAACAUGGAUGAGCAAGUGUGUUUCCUUUAUUCACUUCUGGACAUCAGGAACAUGGAAUGUUUUAAGAAUCAGAUGCCCCCUUAAUUCCUUGUUGUCAGGUGCUCCUUUGUGUUCAGAUCAGGCCUCAGCACAAUAACGUAGCACUUGGGAAGGAAGAUGCAGCCCAGAAGCCCAGCACUGGAGGCCAACAUAGAGAAGAUCUGCACGGCCACCAUGUACUUGCCCUUGGUGCUCAGGUAGGUGGGCACAAAAGACACCCAAACACUGCAGAAGACCAGCAUGCUGAAGGUGAUCAGCUUGGCUUCGUUGAAGGAGCCAGGCAGCUUCCUGGCUAGGAAAGCCACCGUGAAGCAGAUGGCAGCCAAGAAGCCCAGGUAGCCGAGGGCAACGUAGAACAUGGCCACAGACCCUUCGUUGCAUUGCAGGAUGAUCUCUUCCACCUGGGAGCGCAUGUCGGACUCUGGGAAUGGGGGAGAAGAGCCCAGCCAGAUGGUGCAGAUGAGAACUUGCCCCCCAGAACAGGAGAUGACCAUGGAGUUGGCCAGACUCUUGCCCAGCCAUCUCCUCACCCUGUUCCCGGGCUUUGUGGCCAGGAAGGCCAGCACCACCGUGAUGGUCUUUGCCAAGACAGAAGAAACAGCAACUGAGAAGAUGAUGCUGAAGGCCGUUUGUCGGAGAAGGCAGGUCUCUUUCCUUGGGCGCCCGAUGAAGAGGAAGGAGGACAAAAAGGAAAGCAGGAGCGAGACGAGGAGGAUGUAGGAGAGGUCCCGGUUGUUGGCUUUGACUAUGGGAGUGUCCUUGUAUUUAAUGAAGAUUCCCAACACAAUGCCUGCUGUUAUAGAAAAGAAGAGGGCAACGGAAGCUAACACCAUUCCCAAAUAUUCUUCAUAAGCCAGGAAGAUGUUAAUCUUGGGGACACAUUGAUCUCUGUCCUUGUUUGGAUACUGAUCUUCUGAGCAUUUGGUGCAAUGUUCUGCAUCUGGGG
rnacentral:lncRNA from 1 species